rnacentral:miRNA from 1 species
GGGUUUGGUGACAGCGUCAGAGC